UCUGACACAACCACAAGGAGACACGAGGGGCGGGGAGGUGACUUCUGCGCGUUUGGGGAAAAGAGGAAAAGGGAGAAAGGGAGAAUGAAUGAAAUGAGUGACGAGGGAAGUAAAAUGAUAAGUUCGGAGAAAGGGAGGAAGGAGAGAUGAACUGCACACGAGAAAUACGGGGGGGAGGGGGAUGGGAAGGGGAAAGGGUAGAUGGGAAACAAGCAGCCGUAUGGGACGUGGCCAAAGGGCACUGUGGAAGGAAGGAGAAAGAGGAGCGAAGGCGAUUCCGAAGGGUUGGUAACUUGGCGCUCUAGGUCCUGCUCGAGCCGCCGUCUGUUGCCAGAUCGGUAGAAGUGGACUCGCCAGACGAGGAAAUUACUCGCGAGAUAAACUUAAUGCGUGAGGUUAGUGUCCGGGGAGGGGGGUAGGGGGGCCUGGAAGGGGAAAGGUCGAGAACUCUAAUUCUCCUGGUUUCCCACCUCUCCGUUCGUCGACUUCUCCCCUCCGGCCCUUCCUCCUUCGCAGACUAGACUCAUGGCACCAUUCUCAGAGAGCAGGACAGACAAGCUAAGUCACAUGUAAAGAAACUGUGAAUAUGAUUACCAGUGACCUGUAAAAAGACGCUCGAAAUUUUGCUGCUCACCUUAAAUUAUUCGAAUGAAUCUUGGUUCAUGUACCAUCCUUAAAACUUAUUAAAGGAUGGGUCAUUUUGCCAACUAAGGACUCAGAAGCACAUCAUGACAGAAAGCAACCAACGCCAGGAUGCCGGGAUGCUGGGAUCCUGAAGAGCACGGAGACUGAAGAGGUUGUGGACGCGAAGGGGGUGACGUCACUCGGAGUGUGUAUGAAGCCGUGCUAGUGACAGAACCGCGUGGCGUAAGGCGGACAGACGAAGUGGACUUUGGCCCGGCGUGAAGUGGCUGCGUUAGGGUGAGGCAGCGGUUCGCGAAAAGCCCAGAGAGAACAGACCGUGAGUUAAUCUUAGCAAAGGGUGAGAAGAAUAUUGACAACACUGACGUUUGCUGGAUUUCUGUCCUUUUCUUCUGUGUCGAGGUGUAGGUAGUACGCAGGGGCAUGGUUUGUGUAUGUAUGUGUAUAUCAAGAUUGUACAUAUAUCUUUCGUUAUAAAAUCCCUCUCUUAGUGAAGAAAGGAGGAAAGAAAAUCAAUCUCUCACUCUCCUCACGCCAUCUGUCGCUCCAUAAUUGUUUUAAUUGCAAGGCACGAUAGCAGAUGAUUGCCAAUCAUUAAGAGAAGGUGAAUUAAGAGGGACGGACCGAAAUUGCUCGAUUGAGAGAGAGAGAGAGAGAGAGAGAGAGAGAGAGAGAGAGAGAGAGAGAGAGAGAGAGAGAGAGAGAGAGAGAGAGAGAGAGA